rnacentral:lncRNA from 1 species
GCUGGGGGAUGAGAGCUGCACCGCGCGGGACAAGUCGCCGGCGGCGCCCGACGGAGCAGGUAAAAUGUGGAUAAUACGGCCGGGCGCGGUGGUUCAUGCCUGUAAUCCCAGCACUUUGGGAGACCGAGGCGGGUGGAUUGCCUGAGGUCAGGAGUUCGAGACCAGUCUGGCCAACAUGGUGAAACCCCGUCUCUACUAAAAAAUACAAAAUAAAUUUGCCAGGCAUGGUGGCAUGCGACUGUAAUCCCAGCUACUCAGGAGGCUGAGGCAGGGGAAUUGCUUGAACCAGGGAGGUGGAGGUUGCAGUGAGCUGAGAUCGCACCACUGCACUCCAGCCUGG